UGGACUAAUUUUAUAGAAAUGAAUAUGAGCGCGGCCGCGGCAGACAACCGCCAAAUCUCUAAGCUCGGCAUGAACUUUUUGGCACUCCAUUGCUAUUGCCGGCACAAUCAUCGCCAGUCGGCCUGCAGGCUGCGUCCUGCCUUGCUAUGGUGAAAUAAGUUCGAGAAUUUCAGUGAGCCUACGCCACUUUUCAGAAAUAUUCGCUUCUCAUCUAAUCACAUAUAUAUUAGAAUACAAAUCACGCAUUUGUUAUUUUACAGGCUUUUGAAAUAUGUGACUUCAUUUGAGAAGACAUGACAAAUUUCGUGGAAUUUUGGCCGUUCAUGAAGAUUUCGACAAGUGGCUAAAAAUGGAAUCUGCUGAGCCGCCUGACAGUCAAAGGCUGCUGACUGCGCCUAGAGAACGGAAGAAACAAUGCGUUCAAUGAAGAUGCCCAUCAUUAUACGGUAUGAAUUGCAGUAUGAAUGAAUUUCAUUCAUGGAUAGAAAAGCUCGAACAACUAGUACGUUAACGGUUUUUAAUGAUAACUUGAAGGGUUAGAUCACUUCCCUAUCCUGGAUACUGGAUAGUAUCUUAUUCAUUGAUGGAUCCAAGUAACGCUUUCUUUGGUGGCCUUGUAAGUUGUAAGUUUAUCCACAUUCAUUCUUGUAGACAUUACGUCAUCUGGGGGUGAUCUCCGGUAGGCUUAUUCAUCAUUUCAUCUUAUUUAUGAACAAAUCGUUUGUUAGCGACAAGCUUCACUAUUGGGUUCAGAACUGUGUGUAAAAUUUUGACUUCUUUAUUAGUAGCCAAAGAAUGACAACUUCUGUUGUUGCGAUGGAAGUUAAGAAUCUUAGCUUCAUUAGCCCAAGAUGCCGUUGCUAUGGUAACUACGAUGCCGUUGUUAUGGAAGCGACUGUGUCGUUGCUAAGGACACUCCGUCGCUAUCACGCUUUUCUCUCGUGAUUUUCACGAAUGUUUUCGCUGUACGUAUUUUGUGUUAUAGGAAUGUGCAACAAUAUUAAAUGCAAAUAUUUAUUUUUUUUAGACUUGUUUCAUGUUCGUUUUAUUAUGUGAUAAGUGUGAAUUUUUCUAUUAAGAGCUCAAUAUAUUCCAAGUCCUCAACGAAAACGUCCCUGGCACAGACCAAGGUGUAUCCGGGAACUCUGGAACUGAAAUAUUAUAACUAAUUUCAUCUGUUAUUUUUAGAAGGGGUUAAAUUACCGCUACUGAUUUGAAGAACAAGUGAAUUCUUAGUGCGAACCUUUCGUUGAAGCCUGUAAGUCGAUUCAAACAAUGAAGGUGAUUACAUAUUUUUUCAGGUAUAUUUCCUGUCAAGAUUCUGUUGAUAUUUCAAUGAAUGUCACCGUACUUAAAAACUCUAUUAAUACACGUCAGCGAAAAAUUUCGACAUAAAUGAUGACAAUGCGUGCUGGAACAGUGACUUGAGAAGAAUAGUAUAGGAAAGUAUUAAAGUAAAUUUUCUCGAUGAUUUU